AUGACUAUACUUUCAGGGAUCAUUUCUACAGUUUGUUAUUUUAUUUUAUAUAAUGAUUUUAUUUAUUUGAGGGGGGGAGGGGCAAAGGGAGAGGAAGAAGCAGGGUCCCCACUGAGCAGGGAGCCCGACUCGGGACUCGAUCCCAGGACCCUGGGAUCAUGACCUGAGCUGA
rnacentral:snoRNA from 1 species